GUUUAGGAUAAGAUGUCUUGGAAAAGCAAUUUACUCGUUUUGGGACUGUUAACACUGCAGCAAGUUAUGUCACACUGCAGCAGAGAAAUGACAGUGCAAUGAGAUGGAAUGUGAGAUGAGAUGAUAAAAUGGAAGCUAAAAUUUAAAGAAGUACACACUUAAAUUUCCUAUUGUAUCUUUGCUGUUUGAAAAAUUGGCUAUUUGCUUUAAGAUAUCUCAGCAGAUGAACAAUUAGACCAAAAGGCAGUGCUUUCAAAUACACAGCCUUCAAUCUGGAGGAAAUGUAUGUCCAGUUUGUAGCCCUCAUCGCUUCUACAGUAGCUAAUGUUGCUGCUUACAGACAUCUUCAGUGCAGCUGAGAAACAUCUCAGAAAACACAUUUUGGAAGGACCCUGAGGAAGGAUAUGACAACAUUCUGCAAGAUGUGAAAUCUGGUAGACUGCCUGCUUCCAGUGACCCAGGGACCCUCUCAGGUACAGUGAUGAGUUCGCUUUUAUCAAGGUCUUCAGCAAAUUUCAGGUGAAGAGAUUAAAAUCCUGGAUUGGUAGCUUUGUCCCUUUUGGGAGUUACCUCUUUUGUGUUGUAGUGGACAGCA
rnacentral:lncRNA from 1 species